rnacentral:rRNA from 1 species
CCUACGGGAGGCAGCAGUAGGGAAUCUUCCACAAUGGGCGAAAGCCUGAUGGAGCAACGCCGCGUGGGUGAAGAAGGUCUUCGGAUCAUAAAACCCUGUUGUCAGAGAAGAACGUGCGUUAGAGUAACUGUUCACGUUUCGACGGUAUCUAACCAGAAAGCCACGGCUAACUACGUGCCAGCAGCCGCGGUAAUACGUCGGUGGCAAGCGUUAUCCGGAUUUAUUGGGCGUAAAGGGAUCGCAGGCGGUCUGUUAAGUCUGAUGUGAAAGCCUUCGGCUUAACCGGAGUAGUGCAUUGGAAACUGGGAGACUGGAGUGCAGAAGAGGAGAGUGGAACUCCAUGUGUAGCGGUGAAAUGCGUAGAUAUAUGGAAGAACACCAGUGGCGAAAGCGGCUCUCUGGUCUGUAACUGACGCUGAGGUUCGAAAGCGUGGGUAGCAAACAGGAUUAGAUACCCUUGUAGUC